GGGGCUGUGGCGCAGGUGGGAGCGCGCUUCCUUGGCAUGGAAGAGGUCGCGGGUUCGAUUCCCGCCAGCUCCACCA
rnacentral:tRNA from 1 species